AAAUAAAAUUGAUGGAACCUUUCCAGCAUAUCGAUCCUCUUUUUAGGAUAAAAACAUAGCCUGAUACAACUUUGUCAUUUCUAUCUAACUAGAAACUAAAAUCAAUAUUUUUCAUGUUUUAAGUCAGACUCUCCAUAAACAAGCCAUUGAUUCUUAAUAUUUUAUAAAUACUUAAGGAUGGUUCUAAUAACCUUCCAAACCUUUAUGGAGAACAGAGAUGACAAUCAAGCUUUUAUUUUCUGUAAUGUAAAGAUGUCAUUAUCGAUUAAGAGAAUUUCAUCCAAAUAGCACAA
rnacentral:lncRNA from 1 species